rnacentral:lncRNA from 1 species
UUCGGCCCCCGAACGUGGCCUGGCCAGCCACCUAUAAAAGGGGCACUUAGCCGAAAUGGGAGAGUUUUCUCCCAUUUUCGGGAGGCACUUUCGGCCCCCGAACGUGGCCUGGCCAGCCACCUAUAAAAGGGGCACUUAGCCGAAAUGGGAGAGUUUUCUCCCAUUUUCGACCUCAGCGAGCUUCCGACCUCCCUCUCCCAAAUCUUGUGUUUUUCCUUCAAUCCCCACCAUUUUCUUUGAGUUUUAAGGUUCCACAAAAGUUUUUCAGUGUUUUUAAGCAAGUUUGGAGCUUGGAAGUCUUGGAGCUAAAUCCCUCCAUUUUCCGAGCUAGGGUCGUUCUUCCUCUAGAUCUUCAAGAGGUAAGCUUCGAUCUAUGCUUCUUUUAUGUUUUAUGAAAGUUUUAUGCAAGUUGAUGGGGUAGAAUGCAUGUUUAGGUUAUAUGUAUGUUUAUGGGUAUAAUGUAU